AGUGAACGCUGGCGGUAGACCUAACACAUGCAAGUCGAACGGCAGCACAGUAAGAGCUUGCUCUUACGGGUGGCGAGUGGCGGACGGGUGAGGAAUACAUUGGAAUCUACUUUUUCGUGGGGGAUAACGUAGGGAAACUUACGCUAAUACCGCAUACGACCUACGGGUGAAAGCAGGGGAUCUUCGGACCUUGCGCGAUUGAAUGAGCCGAUGUCGGAUUAGCUAGUUGGCGGGGUAAAGGCCCACCAAGGCGACGAUCCGUAGCUGGUCUGAGAGGAUGAUCAGCCACACUGGAACUGAGACACGGUCCAGACUCCUACGGGAGGCAGCAGUGGGGAAUAUUGGACAAUGGGCGCAAGCCUGAUCCAGCCAUACCGCGUGGGUGAAGAAGGCCUUCGGGUUGUAAAGCCCUUUUGUUGGGAAAGAAAAGCAGCAGGUUAAUACCCCGCUGUUCUGACGGUACCCAAAGAAUAAGCACCGGCUAACUUCGUG
rnacentral:rRNA from 1 species